GUCUACAGCCAUACCACACCAAAUGCAUCAGAUCUCUUCUUAUCUCAGAAGCUAAACAAGGUCAACAGAUAAACCAAGUGUUUGCACAUUGAGAUUUAGGGAUCUGUUACCA
rnacentral:rRNA from 1 species